rnacentral:rRNA from 2 species
UACGUAGGGUGCAAGCGUUAUCCGGAAUUAUUGGGCGUAAAGAGCUCGUAGGCGGUUUGUCGCGUCUGCUGUGAAACCCCGAGGCUCAACCUCGGGCCUGCAGUGGGUACGGGCAGACUAGAGUGCGGUAGGGGAGAUUGGAAUUCCUGGUGUAGCGGUGGAAUGCGCAGAUAUCAGGAGGAACACCGAUGGCGAAGGCAGAUCUCUGGGCCGUAACUGACGCUGAGGAGCGAAAGGGUGGGGAGCAAACAGG